rnacentral:rRNA from 1 species
UGGGGAAUCUUGCGCAAUGGAGGAAACUCUGACGGAGCGACGCCGCGUGGAUGAUGAAGGCCGGAAGGUUGUAAAAUCCUUUUAAGUAUGAGGAAUAAGCAGUGUGAGAGAAACGCAUUGUGGUGACUGUAGUACUUGAAUAAGCAACGGCUAAUUACGUGCCAGCAGCCGCGGUAACACGUAAGUUGCGAGCGUUGUUCGGAAUUAUUGGGCGUAAAGGGCAUGUAGGCGGUUUUGCAAGCUUGGUGUGAAAUGCCGGAGCUUAACUCCGGAACUGCGUUGAGAACUGCAUAACUAGAGUCACUGAGGGGCAAUCAGAAUUCCAGGUGUAGGGGGUGAAAUCUGUAGAUAUCUGGAAGAAUACCAAUGGCGAAGGCAGGUUACCAGCAGAUGACUAA